UGAGAAUUAUAGCAAUUAUUGUGGCGAGAUUAGCCAUAAAGUUGUCGGAGAUGAGGAUGAACGGUGUGAAGAAGGGGAAAGAACGGGCAAAAGCGUUGGCAGUCGGAGGAGAUGAAGAAUUAGCGCAUAAGCAACCGAAGCUAUUACUUUUGAUUGACUGUUUCUGACUGGAUUUGGCGCGACGCUGUCAGUCGGCAAGAAUGAGGAAAAGCCCAUGUACACCUUUUGGCAAAAAGUAACAAGGUAUCUGGUUUCAACGGUAAGAGGAUGGAUUUGAAGACG
ensembl:ncRNA W04D2.10 ncRNA